AAGACUUUGUGGUCUUAGAAUUUUUAAAAAUUCUAGGACCACCGAAAGUCUUGAUUCUUAAUUUGAAUAGAAAAUAUGUGAUGGUUGUGCUUUGUCACAGAUUUUGUUGAUUGUUGUGUGAAAUACUCCAAGAAAUAGUUUAUUGUGCCUCAUGUUGGACGUGUUGGUGAGCAGCGAGACAGAGGCAUGUUGCACUUACCAAGAAAUACACUUGUGCUGCGUCUGUCAUAGUGAGUGAUCAGUGGGAUGCUUAUCACACUCUGAAAGACCACAGGUACACCCACCCCACAAUUAUUUAGUCAGAACACUUUGUGGACCCAACAAACAUUGAAUUCCACACGAUGAACAUUGAACACCAGAAAGAAUGAGCUGAGCGACUAGGUAUAAGAAGCGACUUCCUUGUAUUAGUAUCUGGCCAGAUACCGGUUAAUAUGAGGCCACGAAAAGCUCAACCUGACUGACUCCAUGGGCGGGGCUAAUCCAUCCACCACGGGGCAGGCAGCCUCGGCAGUUCCCUCCAUUCCCUAUCAUUGAAGAGCCAGCAGGAGGCCUCGAAACAGUAGGACUGAGGGAAGAUAUGACAAUGAAUCACAUGAGCCGCCAACUAGACAUUAUGGCUGCGGAAUCUCGAGAUGGUGUAUUUACCUAGUUGUAUUUACUAGCCGAGAUAGUUCAUAAACAAAUCAGUUUCCUGUCAGUCACACACCCCUCCGAGACUGGGGUGGGAACCUCUCCCGCGCUGGGCGGCCACGGCCUAGUGAGCAACACUUCUUUCAGUGCAUCUGUACGUGAACCAAAAGUCUUGCAACAUUGUUCAGUGAUGACGCGACUGUACUACCAACAUUAUUGUUUAAAGGACUACCACCGGGUGGCCGGCAAUGCACGUGUACUCCUACACCAGCCACGAGUCACCUGCUUGGACAGCGUGCACGCCUCCGGGCAGCACACAGUCCUACCCCCCCGCCGCCGCUUACGAGCAGACCCAUUGAUAUCACGGGCGGGGAAGAUGGUGCCUCUACAAGCAAACCAUCGACGGCGACCAGGGCACCUCUCCGCGCGGACGAAAGGUACAUAACAUCCCGCUAAAGAUUCCUAUUGCUCCCUGAAUGCUUUUGAUACGUGUACCACAAGUGUCAAGUGUACCAUGUAACUCCAACGUCUGGCUUAUAAAUUUCUGUGGCAUGUUUCUGUACGAGGGAAUGCAAUAGUAAA